rnacentral:lncRNA from 1 species
CGGGUGAAGGUCGAGUAAAACAAAACAUUUGUCGAACUUCCAUUAUCAACAAAAAUUCGUUUUACAUCAUAAUUGGCUAUUGUCGCCGACACAACAACAGCGUCAUCGUGGGGAGUCUGGAUGCCCCGAACAUCGUCUUCUGUGAAGGUGAUUACGUCGUCCGGGCGUGGCCUUUUCGUCGGCUCCCCUCCUGCAGACGUCCCCGGCCCCAGCCGCUUGGAGAUCAUGUUGAUGACUCCGGCCGUCGGCUGGUUGGUUGGCACCUCUUCAGUCGGCUAGGGGCGUCGUUCGGCAAUCGGUUGGGCCGGCGGACCUUUCCGAAAUUUGCCGAGGUACCCCCGGCGGAUGAGAUUUUCGAUCUCAUCCUUCAACUGGAUGCAUCGCUCGGUGUCGUGGCCGUGGCUCCGAUGGAACCGGCAGUACUUCCGAUGGUCGAGGCCCUUUGCCUUCAGAGGUGGAGGCCGUCGCAGGUACUCUUCUCCCUCGAUCUCCAUCAGGAUCUGCGCACGGGGAGCGGAGAGAGGAGUGUAGGAGUCAUACCUGGGAUGCACCGGCCUCGGAGUCUGUCG